rnacentral:lncRNA from 1 species
CUUGAAUUCAUCUGUGUUCCAUUUUGCCUUUAGCCAUACACGUGUCCAGUCAAGACCACCAUGUUGUUUUCACAACAACUUGAGAACUGCAAAUCAGUGCAGGUGAUGCUGGUUCACUGCAGCUCUAACCCUGCCUUCACCAUAACUCUUUUACCCAGGCUUUGAGGCUUUCAGACUCAACUCAGUUCACUGAAGCAAAAUUGGAGCAUCUGGGUAGAGUGUCAAAACAGCAGAGCUAACAUCAGUGUGACACCCCAGUGGCUUACUGCAACCCAUCUACAAAUGCUUCAUCAGUUGUUUAGAGGCUGUAGAUUAGCUUGUAUUCAUAUCUAGAUGCAACGGUUUGUGAAUUCAUUGGAAAACCUCAGUGACGUAGCUAAUCGUUUUUUCCUUGUGGUCUUGAGUUUCUGAAAAUUUGCUGGUGCUAAUUCAGAAUGCAAUUCCACUGUUUUAUUCUCAAUUAUUGUGCUAAUCUUCUGAUUGUUUUCCUUAGCAUGCAAGUAAACAAAUUGACAGCUUGACCUGCAUAGUAUGUGGAAGAAUAGCACUUAAAAAAAAUAGGAUAGAUUUAUGAUGGAUUUAUGGUAUGACCUUGUUUAAUCUUUGGAAAGAAAGAUUUUGACAUUAUUAUUAUCAUUAUUAUUUCCUAGGACCAAUGCUAUAAAUUUAUAUUAUUAAAUCAUAAUUAUAUAAUCAUGUUUUUUUCCUAUCUUGUUCAAUUAAGUACCCUGAGUGAAGUAAUAUUGUCUUAGGUUUUUUUGUUGUUGAUUUGCAGGCUGGUGAUGGCGUUUCAUUCUUUUGACUGCUAGAUUCCUUUUGGCAGAAGCAAUCAAAGUCAUUUCACUGACAUCUAUAUUUAUAAACUUGGGCUACAUUAGAGCUGAAAGAUCCCUCCACAUCGUCCACUCACCCGUCAUUAACAGCCAUUGCCCAGAGUGCUUCCAACACAGUGGACAGUCAGUUCCAGGUGAGGCCGGCACCCCAGCGGAGGGCUGGCUAUGGGUGCUGCUCCAUGUCCCUC